rnacentral:rRNA from 1 species
GAAGGGGGCUAGCGUUGUUCGGAAUUACUGGGCGUAAAGGGCGCGUAGGCGGCGCGUUAAGUCAGAUGUGAAAGCCCUGGGCUCAACCCAGGAAUUGCAUUUGAUACUGACGUGCUUGAAUCCGGAAGAGGAUGACGGAAUUCCCAGUGUAGAGGUGAAAUUCAUUGAUAUUGGGAAGAACACCAGUGGCGAAGGCGGUCAUCUGGUCCGGUAUUGACGCUGAGGCGCGAAAGCGUGGGGAGCAAACAGGAUUAGAUACCCUGGUAGUCCACGCCGUAAACGAUGAGUGCUAGACGUCGGGGGGUUGCCUCUCGGUGUCGCCGCUAACGCAUUAAGCACUCCGCCUGGGGAGUACGGCCGCAAGGUUAGACUGGGACG